AGUGAACGCUGGCGGUAGGCCUAACACAUGCAAGUCGAACGGCAGCACAGUAAGAGCUUGCUCUUACGGGUGGCGAGUGGCGGACGGGUGAGGAAUACAUCGGAAUCUACUUUUUCGUGGGGGAUAACGUAGGGAAACUUACGCUAAUACCGCAUACGACCUACGGGUGAAAGCAGUGGAUCUUCGGACCUUGCGCGAUUGAAUGAGCCGAUGUCGGAUUAGCUAGUUGGCGGGGUAAAGGCCCACCAAGGCGACGAUCCGUAGCUGGUCUGAGAGGAUGAUCAGCCACACUGGAACUGGGACACGGUCCAGACUCCUACGGGAGGCAGCAGUGGGGAAUAUUGGACAAUGGGCGCAAGCCUGAUCCAGCCAUACCGCGUGGGUGAAGAAGGCCUUCGGGUUGUAAAGCCCUUUUGUUGGGAAAGAAAAGCAGCAGGUUAAUACCCCGCUGUUCUGACGGUACCCAAAGAAUAAGCACCGGCUAACUUCGUG
rnacentral:rRNA from 1 species